GCCUCAGUACGGCGAGUGAAGCGGCAAAAGCUCAAAUUUGAAAUCUAGCACCUUCGGUGUUCGAGUUGUAAUUUGAAGAUGGUAACCUUGGGUUUGGCUCUUGUCUAUGUUCCUUGGAACAGGACGUCAUAGAGGGUGAGAAUCCCGUCUGAUGAGAUGCCCAUUCCUAUGUAAGGUGCUAUCGAAGAGUCGAGUUGUUUGGGAAUGCAGCUCUAAGUGGGUGGUAAAUUCCAUCUAAAGCUAAAUAUUGGCGAGAGACCGAUAGCGAACAAGUACAGUGAUGGAAAGAUGAAAAGAACUUUGAAAAGAGAGUGAAAAAGUACGUGAAAUUGUUGAAAGGGAAGGGCAUUAGAUCAGACUUGGUGUUUUACGAUUAUCUUCUCUUCUUGAGUUGUGCACUCGUAUUUCACUGGGCCAGCAUCGAUUCGGAUGGCAAGAUAAUGGCAGUUGAAUGUGGCUUCACUUCGGUGGAGUGUUAUAGCUUCUGCUGAUAUUGCCUGUCUGGAUCGAGGGCUGCGUCUUUUGACUAGGAUGCUGGCGUAAUGAUCUAAUGCCGCCCGUCUU
rnacentral:rRNA from 1 species